UUAGGUAGCCCAUUGAAGGAGCAGAUUCACCCGGCAGCAGCAUCCUGUUACACCCAGCAUGGAGCUCCUCUAUCUCCUGGCUUCUCUCCAGAUCCUUCCCCGGCUGGUGUCACCUGCAGUCCCCCUGCAAGCCCCAAUAAUCAUCAUGGACCACCAGCACCCUGUGUAUUUCCCGGGGGAGCGUCUCACCCUCAGAUGCUCAGCCCCUAGCGGGGAGGCAGUGACCAGCUACCAG